AUUGGAAUGAUGGGAAUUUAAACCUCUUCCAGAGUAUCAAUUGGAGGGCAAGUCUGGUGCCAGCAGCCGCGGUAAUUCCAGCUCCAAUAGCGUAUAUUAAAAUUGUUGCAGUUAAAAAGCUCGUAGUUGAAUUUCUGCUGCAUUACAUAUCUCUUGUUUGAGUUUGUUUUUGUGGCUUAUUUCGGUUUGAUUUUUUCUUUCCGGAUGAUUACUUUGAGAAAAUUAAAGGGCUCAAAGCAGGCUUUUGCCUUGAAUAGUUUAGCAUGGAAUAAUAAA
rnacentral:rRNA from 1 species